AUUGAACGCUGGCGGCAGGCCUAACACAUGCAAGUCGAACGAGUGGCGGACGGGUGAGUAAUGUCUGGGAAUCUGCCUGAUGGAGGGGGAUAACUACUGGAAACGGUAGCUAAUACCGCAUACCAUCGGAUGUGCCCCUAUGGGAUUAGCUAGUUGGUGGGGUAACGGCGCACCAAGGCGACGAUCCCUAGCUGGUCUGAGAGGAUGACCAGACACAAUGGAACGGAGACACGGUCCAGACUCCUACGGGAGGCAGCAGUGGGGAAUAUUGCACAAUGGGCGCAAGCCUGAUGCAGCCAUGCCGCGUGUAUGAAGAAGGCCUUAGGGUUGUAAAGUACUUUCAGCGGGGAGGCGUUACCCGCAGAAGAAGCACCGGCUAACUCCGUGCCAGCAGCCGCGGUAAUAC
rnacentral:rRNA from 1 species